rnacentral:lncRNA from 1 species
UGAUCAUAUUGCCACAUCCUCCACUGCAGUUACCGCAGGAACCGCCACCGCAGGAGCCGCCACCGCAGCCACUGACCUUAGUCAACCCACCACAUCGUCCACCACCUCCACUGCAUCCACUACCACCUCCACAUCCACCAGAACCACCACAAUGACCACCUUCUUCUUCAGUAAUGUUCCCACUUUUUACACCACAACCAACACCGCAGCCACCGCUAGCGUUAAGCUCCUUAGAAUAGCACUUAGCACCACCAUUUACCUUCUCAGCUGCU